rnacentral:rRNA from 1 species
UUUCCAGACUCCUACGGGAGGCAGCAGUGGGGAAUAUUGCACAAUGGGGGAAACCCUGAUGCAGCGACGCCGCGUGAGUGAAGAAGUAUUUCGGUAUGUAAAGCUCUAUCAGCAGGGAAGAAAAUGACGGUACCUGACUAAGAAGCCCCGGCUAACUACGUGCCAGCAGCCGCGGUAAUACGUAGGGGGCAAGCGUUAUCCGGAAUUACUGGGUGUAAAGGGAGCGCAGACGGCAGUGCAAGUCUGGAGUGAAAGCCCGUGGCUUAACUACGGGACUGCUCUGGAAACUGUGCAGCUAGAGUGCAGGAGAGGCAGGCGGAAUUCCUAGUGUAGCGGUGAAAUGCGUAGAUAUUAGGAGGAACACCAGUGGCGAAGGCGGCUUGCUGGACAGAGACUGACGUUGAGGCUCGAAAGCGUGGGGAGCAAACAGGAUUAGAUACCCCGGUAA